rnacentral:rRNA from 1 species
ACGUGUAGCAGUGAAAUGCGUAGAGAUGUGGAGGAAUACCGAUGGCGAAGGCAGCCUCCUGGGAUAACACUGACGUUCAUGCCCGAAAGCGUGGGUAGCGAACAGGAUUAGAUACCCUGGUAGUNCACGCCCUAAACGAUGUCGAUUAGCUGUUGGGCAGCAUGACUGCUUAGUAGCGAAGCUAACGCGUGAAAUCGACCGCCUGGGGAGUACGGUCGCAAGAUUAAAACUCAAAGGAAUUGACGGGGACCCGCACAAGCGGUGGAUGAUGUGGAUUAAUUCGAUGCAACGCGAAGAACCUUACCUGGUCUUGACAUGUACGGAAUCCUCCAGAGACGGAGGAGUGCCUUCGGGAGCCGUAACACAGGUGCUGCAUGGCUGUCGUCAGCUCGUGUCGUGAGAUGUUGGGUUAAGUCCCGCAACGAGCGCAACCCUUGUCAUUAGUUGCCAUCAUUAAGUUGGGCACUCUAAUGAGACUGCCGGUGACAAGCCGGAGGAAGGUGGGGAUGACGUCAAGUCCUCAUGGCCCUUAUGACCAGGGCUUCACACGUCAUACAAUGGUCGGUACAGAGGGUGGCCAAGCCGCGAGGCGGAGCCAAUCUCACAAAACCGAUCGUAGUCCGGAUUGCACUCUGCAACUCGAGUGCAUGAAGUCGGAAUCGCUAGUAAUCGCAGGUCAGCAUACUGCGGUGAAUACGUUCCCGGGUCUUGUACACACCGCCCGUCGCACCAUGGGAGUGGGGGAUACCAGAAGUAGGUAGGGUAACCGCAAG